CCUUUGUUAUGAGGGAGAGCGUCUUGGUAUGUGCUGGUCUGGUAAAUUUGUUGUAAAGUAGUUUGUAGCCUGCAGAGGAAGGCACCUUGGGAGUGUUUAGGCAAGAGGCCUGCAGGCAUACAUAUACCCAUUGUAUGUAAUCUGUCUAGGCACACUAGUAAGACCUGGGUGGACCACCCCCUGUGCCAGGUGGCAUUGAGAGUAGGUGGGUAGGCAGGCUAUGCUGCUGCCUCUUCUGUCCAGCACCUUUUUGGCCACUUUACUGUGACGAGAACAAAUUCCCUGUAAACGUAGCUACUAUCUUGUCUCAUCGCUACAACUCCCGCACGGGCUCGGGAGAGACGAAGGUUGAAAGUCAUGCGUCCUCCGAUACACAACCCAGCCAGCCGUACUGCUUCUUAACACAGCGCGCAUCCAACCCGGAAGCCAGCUGCACCAAUGUGUCGGAGGGUGCACCUGGAAACCUUGGUUAGCUCGCACUGUGCCCAGCCCGCCACAGGUGUCGCUGGUGCGCGAUGAGACAAGGACAUCCCUACCAACCAAGCCCUCCCUCGGACGACGCUAGGCCAAUUGUACGUCGCCCCACGGACGUCGCGGCCGGUUACGACAGAGCCUGGGCGCGAACCCAGGGACUCUGAUGGCACAGCUGGCGCUGCAGUACACUGCGACACCCGGGAGGCCCUGUUGAGAUUACAUUAACAGUAUGUACCCUAUGCAUAGUAUAGUGAUCAAUGCCGUUUGAGAUGCUUUCUUAUAGCACUUGCGACCUUUGCAUGCUAUCUUGAACAUGAACACUUUCUAUGAUUACGUAAGAGGACAUAAGUUACAGUAACCUCAAUGUGGUCACAGAUGUGUUACUCUUUAGGCCAUUAACUGUAUAAUAAAAGUAAUUUUGACUUGUUCUGUUGACCAGGCAACCAAAUAUCAACAUUUUUAAAGGAGAGCUACUGCUUGGAUAGCUCCAUCUGAGCCACUGACUUAAUCCCAUUUAACUUUUAUUUUUGGUUGAGUUGGAGAUGUAAAUCCUACAUAAAAAAUAAAGAAACUUGUCAACAAAAACAAAUAUCACCAUUUAAAACAAGAUAUACCUACUGGCUUCGGUUCCAGUUUGUGGUAUGAUUGUGAAACAGAUUGUCUGAGUGGCAGAAUGAGAGAAAUGUUGUAGCUUAGCUGUGAAUGUCUGCUUGAGAGAAAUGCCGCCCUCGAGUGUUCUCUCCCUAUCCCAGUCUGUUGUCCCCACGUUCUUCAAGAUGUCCACCAUUGUUCCUGUACCCAAGAAAGCAAAGGUAACUGAA